UUUUUAUAACAAACCAAAAUUGCCCGACUGUUAAUCGAAUAUUGCCCGACUGCCCAAAAAACUGGGGGGUCUGCCGCCCUCCCCCCCCCCCGCCCCCCCCCGCCAGGUACGCCUAUGCCGUCGCCGCCGUGCGGACGGUAAAGACUCUGGCUUGCGAGGUUAACGCGAAUUUGUGACGCGGACGUGCUUACCUAAGCCUAGUUUUCGAGUGUAAGCCUAGUCAGAGUUGUCACAGUUUAUUUCUGCGAGAUUUGUGACACUGUUAUGACACGUUAACAGCCAUACGAAAUGAUAGAAACCAGGCUUUAUAGACUAUUGUUACGAAUGCACAUUUUCCCGCCAAAACUACCAUCCGAG